UACGGAGGAGGCAAGCGUUAUCCGGAAUUAUUGGGCGUAAAGCGUCCGCAGGUGGCACUUCAAGUCUGUCGUCAAAGACUGGGGCUUAACCCUGGAAAGGCGAUGGAAACUGAAAGGCUAGAGAGAGGUAGGGGUAGAGGGAAUUCCCAGUGUAGCGGUGAAAUGCGUAGAGAUUGGGAAGAACAUCGGUGGCGAAAGCGCUCUACUGGACCUCAUCUGACACUCAGGGACGAAAGCUAGGGGAGCGAAUGGG
rnacentral:rRNA from 1 species